AUCGGUAGGGGUUCUGAGAGGAAGGUCCCCCACACUGGAACUGAGACACGGUCCAGACUCCUACGGGAGGCAGCAGUGAGGAAUAUUGGUCAAUGGGCGUAAGCCUGAACCAGCCAAGUAGCGUGCAGGAUGACGGCCCUAUGGGUUGUAAACUGCUUUUAUGCGGGGAUAAAAGAGCCCACGUGUGGGUUUUUGCAGGUACCGCAUGAAUAAGGACCGGCUAAUUCCGUGCCAGCAGCCGCGGUAAUACGGAAGGUCCAGGCGUUAUCCGGAUUUAUUGGGUUUAAAGGGAGCGUAGGCCGCCUCUUAAGCGUGUUGUGAAAUGCGGGUGCUCAACAUCCGACUUGCAGCGCGAACUGGGGGGCUUGAGUGCGCCGAAAGUAGGCGGAAUUCGUGGUGUAGCGGUGAAAUGCUUAGAUAUCACGAAGAACUCCGAUUGCGAAGGCAGCUUACUGUAGCGCAACUGACGCUGAAACGGUGAAACUCAAAGGAAUUGACGGGGGCCCGCACAAGCGGAGGAACAUGUGGUUUAAUUCGAUGAUACGCGAGGAACCUUACCCGGGCUUGAACUGUGGCGGAACGAUUCGGAGACGAUGAGGCCCUUCGGGGCUGCCACGGAGGUGCUGCAUGGUUGUCGUCAGCUCGUGCCGUGAGGUGUCGGCUUAAGUGCCAUAACGAGCGCAACCCCUGUUUUCAGUUGCCAUCGGGUAAUGCCGGGCACUCUGGAGAUACUGCCACCGCAAGGUGUGAGGAAGGUGGGGAUGACGUCAAAUCAGCACGGCCCUUACGUCCGGGGCUACACACGUGUUACAAUGGCGCAUACAGAGAGUUGGUGGCAUGCGAGUGUCAUCUAAUCCUUAAAGUGCGUCUCAGUUCGGACUGGGGUCUGCAACCCGACCCCACGAAGCUGGAUUCGCUAGUAAUCGCGCAUCAGCCAUGGCGCGGUGAAUACGUUCCC
rnacentral:rRNA from 1 species